AUUGAACGCUGGCGGCAUGCUUUACACAUGCAAGUCGAACGGCAGCGCGGGGCAACCUGGCGGCGAGUGGCGAACGGGUGAGUAAUACAUCAGAACGUACCCAGAAGUGGGGGAUAACGUAGCGAAAGUUACGCUAAUACCGCAUACGUUCUACGGAAGAAAGUGGGGGACCGCAAGGCCUCAUGCUUUUGGAGCGGCCGAUGUCUGAUUAGCUAGUUGGUGAGGUAAAGGCUCACAAAGGGGACGAUCAGUAGCUGGUCUGAGAGGACGACCAGCCACAAUGGGACGGAGACACGGCCCAGAAUCCUACGUGAGGCAGCAGUGGGGAAUUUUGGACAAUGGGCGCAAGCCUGAUCCAGCAAUGCCGCGUGAGUGAAGAAGGCCUUCGGGUUGUAAAGCUCUUUUGUCAGGGAAGAAACGGCUGGGGAUAAUACCUCUGGCUAAUGACGGUACCUGAAGAAUAAGCACCGGCUAACUACGUGCCAGCAGCCGCCGUAA
rnacentral:rRNA from 1 species